rnacentral:rRNA from 1 species
ACUCCUACGGGAGGCAGCAGUGGGGAAUUUUGGACAAUGGGCGAAAGCCUGAUCCAGCAAUGCCGCGUGAGUGAAGAAGGCCUUCGGGUUGUAAAGCUCUUUUGUCAGGGAAGAAACGGUGAAAGCUAAUAUCUUUUGCUAAUGACGGUACCUGAAGAAUAAGCACCGGCUAACUACGUGCCAGCAGCCGCGGUAAUACGUAGGUUGCAAGCGUUAAUCGGAAUUACUGGGCGUAAAGCGUGCGCAGGCGGUUUUGUAAGUCUGAUGUGAAAUCCCCGGGCUCAACCUGGGAAUUGCAUUGGAGACUGCAAGGCUAGAAUCUGGCAGAGGGGGGUAGAAUUCCGCGUGUAGCAGUGAAAUGCGUAGAUAUGUGGAGGAACACCGAUGGCGAAGGCAGCCCCCUGGGUCAAGAUUGACGCUCAUGCACGAAAGCGUGGGGAGCAAACAGGAUUAGAAACCCGAGUAGUCCCAUGAU